rnacentral:rRNA from 1 species
UACGUAGGAGGCGAGCGUUGUCCGGAUUUACUGGGCGUAAAGCGCGCGUAGGCGGCACUUCAAGUAAGGUGUGAAAUCUCCCUGCUCAACGGGGAGGGUGCACUUUAGACUGAGGAGCUAGAGGACGGUAGAGGGGGGUGGAAUUGCUGGUGUAGCGGUGAAAUGCGUAGAGAUCAGCAGGAACACCCGUGGCGAAGGCGGCCCCCUGGGCCGUACCUGACGCUGAGGCGCGAAGGCUAGGGGAGCGAACAGG